rnacentral:rRNA from 1 species
GACAGAGGGUGCAAACGUUGUUCGGAAUUACUGGGCAUAAAGCGCACGUAGGUGGUCCGCUAAGUCGCGUGUGAAAUCCCCCGGCUCAACCGGGGAAAUGCGCGUGAUACUGGCGGGCUUGAGAUCAGGAGGGGUGAAUGGAACUCCAGGUGGAGCGGUGAAAUGCGUAGAUAUCUGGAGGAACACCGGUGGCGAAAGCGGUUCACUGGCCCGACACUGACACUGAGGUGCGAAAGCUAGGGUAGCAAACGGG